GCGUGUGGUGAGAUGUUCCAAGCCCGGUAUCUACUGAUUUUGCCAUUCCUAUGAUUCAAAGGAUUCACCAGCUA
rnacentral:tRNA from 1 species